AUUCUCUCGGUAACUACCGAGGAAAUUCUGAGGAACCAGGGAUUGGGGUUUCAAAACAUCGAUUAUUUCGCCGUAUUUCAUUUCUUAUACAAUUAUAAUGCAUACCAUUGAGGAUUCUUUGUAUAGAUGAUCAUAAACCAUGAAAUAACAAAAUUUCAAAAAUAAUAGUAAGUAUUCCCUUUACCGUUUAUUAAAGUGUAUAAGUGUUUCUCUUUUGUUGUGUGGUUUUCGUUCAUGCAAUCGUAAAAGUGUUUGUUAUUGGGUAAAACACCAAAGUUUGACUUCAUAAUCUGGUUAAGACACUUAAUGAAGGUUAUAUACGUGUUAUUCAAUCCGUAAAACGUUGUUUUCGGUUUAAAACCCCAAGUUACUCGGAAUUUCCUCCGAAUAUACCGAGGGAAUUCCAAGGAAAACUCUAUCUUCGUCGGAAUUUCCUCGAAAUUUUCCGAAGAAAUUCUGAGGAAAUUGAAUCUAUACUCAAAUCCCUAAAUCGACAAGAUAUAUUCCGAAGAAAUUCCGAGGAAAACCUAUCUGCCCUCGGAAUUUCCUCGGUAUUUAUAUUUAAAAAAAAAAAAAAGGUCGACGCUAGUCUGUUUCCGAGUCGUCAUCACCAGAUGAAUCUGAAUCUGGAUCUUGGUGAAACUCUCCAAUCACUGGUUCAUCCUCUACGUGAACGGCGGCUUCCUCUCCGAAGUCGGUUAAAUCGACUACAAAGCCAACUCCACCUAAAUCUUCUGCUGCACUUAAGUUGCCGGAUGUGCUUGGUUGUAGUGAGUCUUCCAGCUCAGAACUUCCCUGAACUCGGCCUCUCGGGUUGAGUCUUGUAACAGUAACCCAUGGAUCAUCUCUGUUCCUUACCCGGGGGUACUUGAUAUAACAAACCUGAUCGGCCUGAGAAGCAAGAAUGAAAGGAUCAUAAUAUUGCAGCUUCCGUCUCGAAUUUACUGAUGUAACACCAAAUGCAUCUGUUCUCACACCUCGAUCUGGAGUGUUGUCGUGCCAAUCACAAUAGAAAACAGUACAGCGCAAUCCAACCAUGCCCAAAUACUUGAUUUCCAAAAUCUCAUGUAUGUGUCUGUAGUAUACAUCAUCUCCUGAUGCAGAACAAACACCAGCAUCAUAAGUCGUACUCGAACGUCUCCUCUUCUGAGUUGUGAAUGCAUAUCCUCGAGUACAAAAUCUCGGAUAUGACUUCACAACAAAGUUUGGUCCAACGACCAUCUCGCGUAUCCAAUCGUCAAAUGUUUCACCUCUGGCCAAACCAGCACUCACAUAAGUAAACAUCCAUCCACCAAAUUCUCUCUGCUUCAUUUCUUCUAGUUCGUCCUCUGUGGCGUAUCUAUAUUCGAACCGUUUUUCUGCCAUGAAAAUCCUCUCAUAUUGAAGAACAUCUUCGCAGUUGGUGAGUAAAUAUGUUUGCAAAUGACUGCGCUCCUGAUCAGUAAGUCGACGGUCCUUUGGUUUUCCGCUAAGUCGUCCAACGUCUGUGAAAAUGUCUGGAACUUUCCAAUGAUAUGUUGCCCGUUCGCCUCUAUCAUCAUGCCGAGCAGGUCUUCUGUUUUUGGUCUGAACUUCUGCUGGAAAGUAGUACUCGGCAAAAUUUGAAGUUUCUUCAUUGAUCUUCUAUGCGACUAUAGAACCUUCCACCCUACUUAAAUUUUUCACCAUCUUCUUCAAAUGGAACAUAUACCGCUCAUACAGAUACACCCAUCUAUACUACACAGGACCACCAAGUUCCAAUUCUCUUACCAGGUGAAUAACAAGAUGCUCCAUAACAUCAAAAAAUGAUGGAGGAAAUAUCUUCUCAAGGUUGCACUGAAUCACGGCUAUGUUAGUCUUCAAAUUUUCAAUACCUUCAAGAGUCACUGAUCUCGUGCAUAAAUCGCGGAAGAAACCACUUAUCCCUGCAAUUGGUUCAUGAACAUUUCGUGGUAAUAGUUCCUUGAAGGCAAACAGAAGGAGGCGCUGCAUCAUUACAUGACAAUCGUGGCUUUUCAAGCCAGUAAACUUUCCUUCCUUUCUGUCGAUACAGUUACGCAAAUUAGAUGCGUAACCGUCUGGAAAUUCCACAUCGUUUGAAAUCCAAUCAAAGAACGCAUCCUUUCCCGCUGCAUCAAGUCGGUAUAUGGGAAAAGGAGCCCUACCAUUCUCAUCAACAUGAAGUUCUGAACGAGCACAUAUAUCGACUAAAUCCAGUCUUGACUUCAAAUUAUCCUUUGUUUUACCUUGAACAUUAAGGAUCGUGUUCAUGAGAUUGUAAAAAAAGUUCUUCUCAAUAUGCAUGACAUCUAAAUUAUGCCUUAGUAGAUGAUCUUCCCAGUAUGGCAGAUCCCAAAAAAUACUUUUUUGUGCCAGUUAUGUAGGUCUCCAACACCAUCUACCGGAAAAUGCUCAUGUCCACCGACGUCUGGCGUCCUUUCUGCACCAAAAUCUCUAAGUUGUGUCUUCAAAUCUUUCCCACGAAUUUCCGGAGGUGGACUGUCAAACACCCUCUUGUUCUUCGUAAACAAAUUCCUACUUCUACGAUAUGGAUGAUCUGGUGGUAGAAAUCUCCUGUGACAGUCAAACCAACACGUUUUCCUUCCGUGUUUUAGUUGGAAAGCAUCAGUGUUAUCUUGACAAUAUGGACAUGAUAGCCUUCCAUGCGUUGUCCAUCCAGAUAACAUACCAUAUGCUGGAAAAUCACUUAUUGUCCACAUUAGUACUGCCCGCAUUUGAAAGUUUUCUUUAUAAGAAAUAUCGUAUGUUUCAGCACCUUGAGCCCAUAGUUGUUGCAACUCAUAUAUUAGUGGCUGAAGAAACACAUCAAGUGAUCUCUUAGGAUGCUCUGGUCCGGGAACGAGAAUCGAGAGAAACAAAAACUCUCGUCGCAAGCACAAGUUUGGGGGUAGGUUGUAUGGUGUAAGAAUGACUGGCCAUAGAGAAUACUGUCUUCCACUCUUGCCAAACGGGCUGAAACCAUCAGUACAUAAUCCAAGGUAGAUAUUUCUUCUCUCAUACGCAAAGUCGGGAUACUUUGAUUGGAAAUGCUUCCACGCUUUUGCAUCUGAAGGUGUCUGAUCUCACCAUCUGUUGAGUGCUCCGCAUGCCAUCUCAUUGGUUGCGCUGUGCGUUCAGACAGAUACAGCCUCUGCAACCUUUCCGUCAAAGGCAAAUACCACAUCCUUUUAUAUGGCACUGGAACUCUUCCACUCGUAUCUUUAUAACGAGGCUUCCCACAAAAUUUGCAUGAAACCCGCUGUUCAUCCGCCCUCCAAUAAAUUAUGCAGUUGUCUCUGCAUACAUCUAUUACCUGAUACGAUAAACCAAGACCAGCUACGAGUUUCUGAACCUCGUAGUAUGAGCCAGGAGCAACAUUAUCUUCGGGUAGAAUAUCUUUUACAUAAUCAGCAAUCGCAUCCACACAGUCUUCAGCCAAAUUAUAAUCCGUCUUAAUGCCCAUCAAUCUUGUAGCAGAUGAUAAAGCUGAAUGACCAUCUCUGCAACCUUCGUACAAUGGUUGCUUUCCAGCAUCCAACAUAUCAUAAAAUCUCCUAGCUUCGGCAUUGGGUAAAUUUUCCCCUCUAAAAUGAUCAUUUACCAUCUGCUCAGUACCUACACCAUAGUCUACAUCCGUUCUAAUUGGUUCUUCUAAUCUAACCGCUGGCUGAAGUUCGCUAGUACUACCAUGUUCAUAAUCAGUUUUCCCAUGAUGAUACCAAAUUUUGUAACUUCGUGUAAACCCACUCAAAUAUAGAUGAGUCCAAACAUCCCACUCUUUAAUAACCUUUUUAUUUUUACAAUUAGAGCAAUGACAUCUUAACAUACCUGUUUUUGCUUCCGGUUGUCGGUGAACUAACCCCAUGAAUUCGGUUAUACCUCGUUGGUAUUCUUCCGUAAGCAAUCUCGUGUUCGGAUCCAAAUGAGGUCGAUCGAUCCAAGAACGAAAAUAAUUUGAAAAAGACAUGUUUUUUUAUGAAUCAAAUUCGUGUGUAAAGAGAGUGAGAAGGAGGAUGAAGAUAUGGAGUGAAUGAAGAGGAAGAGGGGUGCUUGUAUUUAUAGUUGAAAUGCUGUCGACACACCGAAGAAAUUCCGACGGAAUUCCGAUGCCAACGGCUAGUUCGUCGGAAUUUCCUCGGAAUUUUUAAAAUCCCCCAACGGCUCUCCAACGGCUCUCUAACGUCUAUAAUAUUUCCUCGGAAUUCAUCUGUUUUUUCCGAGGAAUACAAUUUUUCUUCGUAUUCCAUAAGAAUAUUCCGACGGAAUGAAAUUUCCUCGGAAUUCCGUCGGUAUAUUCCGAGGAAAUUCCGAGGAAACCAAAUUUUGUGUUUCCUCGGAAAUUUCUCGGUAUAUUCCGAGGAAUUCAUUUUCUGUCGGAACUUCCGUCAGAAUACCGCUGUUUUCUUGUAGUGAUAGAAGAUAAAAGAUCACUAGUUUUUGACCCGCGCAGGCGCGCGGGUGUAUAUUUUGAAAAAUAUGUUGAUAUUUGUUUUUCAUGUAAUUAUUAGGAUUUGGAAAAAUGAAUCCGAAGAACAUAACCGAUACCGAUCCAAAGAUAUAGUACCAAACCCAAACAUAAAUUGAUUAAAUAUUCUAAUUAUUCAAAAUUUUGUUAUUUAGAGAACCGAAUCUGAUCCGAACCGAAGUAUUUAGGUAUCCGAAUUUAUCUAAAAAUAGAUUUAUAUACUUAUAUAUAUUAAUUAUUUUUAGAUUUAACGUAUAUAAAACAUCAAAAAUGAUACUUUUAAAUUGGUUUAAAUACUUGAAAAUAUAUAUAGAUAGUCAAAAGUAAAUAUCUGAAAUAGUUAAAGUAUACUCAAAUCACCAAAAAUACUUAAAAUAAUUAUUGAUUUCGUAUCCAAAAUUUUAAAUCAAGCCAAUUGAUAUGUUAAGUUUAAGUAUUAUGACAUAUGUUAUUCAAAUUUAUACGUAAUAUAUUAUUUUAUUUAUAUAUUUUGAGAAAUUUAAAAUAUAUAAUGAUUUAAGACUUUAAAAAUAAUUUAAAUUAGUUAUCCAAACCCAAACCAAACCCGCAAAGAUCCAAAUCGAACUCAAACCAAAAUUUAGAAACAUUCUAAUAAGACUGAAAUCUUUGACCCCGAAAAUCCAAAAUACAAACCGAUCAGAACUAAACCCGUAUGGGUAUCCAAAAGCCCAUCCCUAGUCAUUAUUAUAUAUCGUAUUUUAUCAUCAUAUAAUUAAUCGUAUUUUAUAUGUACCAUCAUAUAAGUAAUCAUAUAAUUAAUAGUAUUUUAUACAUACCAUCAUAUAAAUAAUUACAUAUAUUAUAUUUUUAAAACUUAAUAUGAAAUAUGAAAACCAUAAUUUAAGUUGGUAUUUCAAAUUGGGCUUUGUAUUAUAUUUUUCUUAUAUAUAUUGACAAUAUUUUUUUAUAAUGGUUAUUGAAAAAUAGUUUGGUAAAAAUCCAUUUUUGAAUAUAUGUUUAUUUUUGAAUCAAUUUUUGAUAUAAAUCAAAUUUGAAUUAUUAUUUUGAUUUGAAAUAUGUAUAUAAAGUUUAAAUUUUGUUUUAUGGUUAGUUUAGAAAAAAAUUUUUUAGGGAAUUAGAUUGACCCAUUUUGGUAUAUUUUAAAAGUGGCCUAGAUAACUUUCAAUUUAAAAAAAAAAAACAUAAGCCCAUUACUUUUUUUCUUAAUACUACUAUCCUUGUUUUCAAACAAAAAUAUUUUUUUUUAAAAGACUGCAAUCCAUGUUUCCAAACACUCCAAAUUUUUAAAAGUCCUAUUCAAGUCUCCAAACACUCCAAUUUUGUACUUGAGUUUUAAUAAGAUAGAUGCCAUUGAGCACAGUUUUCCCGAACUUGCAACAGACGUGCUUAUAAUCCCCUCAAUUAAAUUAUACUUACAUAAUAAAAUCUCCCAUUGCAAAAGAAAACAUUGACAUAUUUUGUAAUAUCGGUCUUCCCAUCAAAACGUUAUAAAUGCUAUAAAAUGAAAUAACACUUUUGCGGUAUAAAACGUCAUAUUUUCACUUUUACAAAUAAUUCCCAAACUCAACUAAUACUUACGGAACUGAUAAUUGAAAAAUGGAAGCAGUAUUACAACCUCAAACUUAUACUCAAUUAAAUGGAAGCAGUAUUACAACCUCAAACAUAUACAGUAUAUCUGAAGGGAAUUGGAUAUAUGAGUUUCAAAUUUUAGCUUUUGUUUAUUUAUAUUUAAUCGAAUAACGUAGACUUACGGUUAUUAGUUGUUAUCAAUCAAAUCAAAGUGCAUAACAUAUCGAAUGGAGUAUUAAAGAUCUUUUGCUUGUAUACUUGUCCUACCAGUCAGAAUAAUCCAACCACUAGUUACUCAACACGAGUAAACUAUGACAACCGAAACACAAUUGACAUCAGCACAUGUAUCUGAAUCUGAUUAUACUCUUGAUGUUUAUGAUUCCGUUGAUUGUUUGGACCCAUUGUAAUUGCAUGAUUCCAUAAUUAGACAAGAACCAAGUUGCUUUGGUCUAGUGGUAUAGGAGCUCCAGAUGGAGUGCCCGCCCCUGGGUUCGAGCCUUGGCCACUGCAGAAUUUACAUAUGGGCUGCAGCAUCCGAGACCGAAGACCGUUACACGGUGAGCCACAUGGUGACGCCCUGGCAGCGUCCUUGCUCACUUCGGUCUCUAGUCUGGACCACCUCGGUGGGGCCAGGAUACUCGGUUAGCAAAAAAAAAAAUAAUUAGACAAAAAAAAUUGAGUUCAUUAGUUCGCAAUCUUUCCAAAGUGAGAAUCUAGUUUAACUAAUUUUUCAGCACCUACUUUAGUGUUGAGUUCUAACUUAUAUACGUAUGUGUGCUCUUAAAGUGUAUAUAUAUUUGUACUUAAUUUCAUUUAUGGACUAUGGUCAUAUUUUAAGAUUAACGCAUGGAAUUGAAAAAAACACUUUGAAACCUUGGCAUGCAUCGUCAAUAGAUCCACAAGUUUUAACACACUACAAUGAAAUUCUCAGUAGUUACCAAUAACAAAUAUCUUUAAAGAAAUGAUUACCAGUGAAUAUUAUCAGAAUUCACGGAUGGGAUAUCCUUAUUAUCCAAAACAACUGUUGACUCUAGAUUAGACUAUUGCUCUUUAACAAUAGUUCUCCCAAUGUUACUCAUAUGUGUCACUAACAAUCCUAAAAGAAAAAAAAAUUGUGAACAACAUAUUUAUUUCUGUGGUCUAACUGCAUAUCCACGCUCACCACUUAUCCAACACAAACAGUUAGUUGGACUCAAAAAUCUAUCAUGAAUAGUAUUUUAUCUACAUACCAGUGCUAAUAUGAUUUCUUAUUUUCCCCAUCAUACUCGAAAUCAUUUUAAAAAAGUUCUAGAAAAAUUGAAAAAUAUUAUUUAAAUGUUUUGUAUUCAAAGAUUCCUUUGGCUGAUUACUUAGUGCUCCAUUUGUUAUUGGAAGACAAGUUAAAUCGAAGUACUCUUUCCGUGCAAAAACCAAAGCCGUCAUUUUAGGGGUGUGUUCUAAUUAGUCGCUGCGUUAAUGUUCCCAAAUGCCCUUACCUUUUGCGUAUGGAGAUAUGGUAUUAUACCGUGUACUGUUCAUGUAAAUAUAUAAAAAAAAGUUUGAACGUUUCAGUUUUUCUUAUCUUUUUGUCACAAGAACGUUUCAGUUUAAUCAUUGCUUUUCCUGCCAACAGAAAUAAAAAGAUAACAUAGAGGCAAAAAAGAAUCGUUGCAUAAAAAUCCAAUAUCAGUAGGAAAUUUCCAUAACAUGCAGAUAAUGCAAUCCACAACAAGGUAAGAUUUAGUGUAACUUUUUUUUUUUUGGUUAACAGUGUCAGAGCAGCAUUAGCGGUAUGUUUCUUUACUAGCGUGACAUGAUAUAUUAAUAUUUUAAUGCAGACUAAUUAUUUGAAUUAAAUUUAAUUUUCAAAAUUUGUUGUAUCCAGCACGUAUAGAACAACUCUAGAAAAAGGUAUGAAAGUCCCUUCACAAGCAUACGUGUAUUUCAUUUUUUUAAUUAAUUUUUGGAGUGAAGUACUCUUGGAAAAUAUCAUUUUCUAAAGAUAUUUAAAAUAAAACAAUGAAUAAAGUAGAGUCCAAGUUUGUAUGUGUGAUGCACAUGUAUGUGGAUAGAUAUAAGAAAAGUAGGUACAUUAAGACAAAAAUCCCCAUUACUAGGUAUUCAACUGUUCAAGGUUCCCUACCGACUUGUGCACAUGUGUGUAAACAAACACUAUUAUAUACACCUUUAAUAAAUGGUAAGUCUGAUCAUAUUUCUAAAUUUAAUUUGUAAUCAUUGACUUCAAAAUUGCAAGAAAAAUCAAAGGGGUAGAAAGGCAUAAAAGAGGGAGCAAACUCAAGUCAUAAAGAAAUAAAAGAGUCUUUCCUUAUCUCAUGAUAUUUUGACCAUUUAAUCCAUUCAAGAGAGAGAGAGAGAGAGAGAGAGAGAGAGAGAGAGAGAGAGAGAGAGAGAGAGAGAGAGAGAGAGAGAGAGAGAGAGAGAGAGAGAGAGAGACUCGUUUGAAAUGAAAUGUUAAUCAAUUAUGAUUAAGAAUUGUUAACAUUUCUUAAUCACAUAUAUGUAUAUAUAGCAGUGUGAUUUGAUUUUGUUGUUAUCUUCAUACGGUGCGUAUAUUGCGUUUUCAAAGCUAACGUACAUCAACUUUUAUCUUUACCCACCAUAUAUGGGUAGAUAGUACAACACGUAUAUUUAACUAAGAAUGAAGUGAUUAGUAAUAAUCUUGGUUUGGUUUACAACCACAACCAUGUAUCAUUAUCUAAUUGUCUUAGUUUACCCUUUUAUUUUGACAGUCACUAAAUUUAAUUAUAUUUUUUUGUAUAGAAACAUGUGCAUGUUAAUUUGUAAAUAGAUACCAUAUUCUAAAAUUAUAUAACUAUCCAAGAAUAUAAAAACAAAUCAUAUAUUUCAUAUGAACCAAUGAUAAAACGACUAAAAAGAACAUCAUCCCCUGUCAACAUUAAUAAAUAGAUUGAUUCCGCUUCAUCUUCUAGUGUAAACAAAAAAGUUUUCGAGUGUUUUCUGAAAAUUUUAUUUAAAAAUGUUCAACAAUUCAUACUGGAUGAAGCAUGAAUCUCUCAGGAAAGAUUCAGGUUUCCGUUCGUUUUUAUUUGUUUGUUUCUUUUCCGAUUUUUAGAAAAUAAUCAUGACCUAAGAUAUGUAUUCAAGUUGUUCUUAACCCUCUUGCUUGGUUAAUCCUUUGCUUUGUCAAAAAAAAACAUGAUCUAAGAGCAGGUCCAACAUGGAUAUCUAUCAAAAUAUCUAACUAUUUUAAAAUAACAUGAAGAAAUUAGAAAAUGAAGAGAGGUAACAAGAUCCGUUUCUUAGCUAAGCAACUUUAAAAACUCUUCUUGAUGCUUCUUUGCCACCUGCUAUUUGUUUAUUGGAUCAUUGCUAUUAUCUUUAUUAUGUAACUAAUUUGCUUAAACUAGAAAUAAUUUAUUUAUUUAUUAGAUACCUAAAACAGGAUACUAACCGAUAAGGAUGCCCGAAGACCUAAAACAUGGAUACGGUACUAAAGGUUUUAAUGACAAGUUGAAUAGUAUCUGAUUAAAUUUUCUCAAUGCCUAGAAAAGAUAGAUUCCUAAUUCCUUUAUUGACGCAAAACACAGUUGGGUUUGAACGAUGAAUAACUUCUAAGAAAGACGAAUGACUCCCCCAUAACAGCAGUUCAGCACCACUCAGAUGCUCUGAUAUCCCGUUAUCUUAUUUAUAUAUAUAUAAGCAUCAUUAGUGAGAAUCUCUAGUCUAAUAAACAAUUAGUAAAAAGGAUUAAGUAAAAGAGAUGACAGAUUUAGAAGAAAGAUGUGAGAUACGUAACUUUAUAGAGAGACGAUGCUGAGUUUUGAAGAAAAAAAAAGAAAAUUAAAAAAUUUAAGAAAACAGAUUUUAAUUGGUCGAAAGUCUUUAGACAGUCCCUGAACACCGUGGAUGCUUUGAGACGUAAUGUUAAAUGAUAAAGAUAAUGCAAACAUCUUCUUCUUCUCUCUGAUGUAUAAGAAAAAGCAUUUUCUUUAAAUUAUUUUGAUUAUCCACUUCUCCAUGCACCUGUUUAUAUCUGUCUAUAAAAUUUAUGGAGAUGAUCGAUGAUACUAAAUCAUACACAUAAAUAUAUCCAUGAUAGACCAAAGAUUGCGGCUGAGAUGCCUCGGAUACCUUUACUUUAUGUAAUGUGGUCGAAUAACUACAGUCUUGGCACACUAAAAUUAAGUUCUUUGUAUCCAAUCUUGUUCUUAUAGAAACCAACUACUCUGCUUUGGCUCACUAAAAGUUAACUAUUACACACACACACGCUUUUCUCUAAAAUAACUAGCGUCAUUAUCGUUAGCAUGCUAUCUGUUGUCUCAAAGGUAUUAUCGUUAGCUUUAUGUUCUUUUUUUAACACCCAUGGCCGUCUUCCCGUGCGACGACGGUGUGGAGAUUUUUCUCGACUGGAUAAAGAGAAAAAAAUAUUUGGUCAAUAACAUUCAUAAUCUUUCUAGACAUCAUAUUAUUACAAUAUUAUUUAAUGUCUUAGAAACCAGAUUCAUUCAACUAAUUUUACAACCCUGUCCGAGUUUGUCAAUUUUUUUUAUCAAUUGACUGAAAAUUUAACCUUGUUUGAUAUGUUUUACCUUAAAUCAAGUCAGUUAUGGUUUAAGAUGUAAAUACAUAUAUAUAGAUAAAUUAAUGUGACAUGAGCUAGGUGCAUAUUUACUAAAUUCUUAUGUUGGAAACUUUGUUAUUGCUUCACCCAAUUGCUGAAAAUGGGCUCCACGCCCACGCCUCUGCUCUCAUUUACUCUAUAAAACCAUCUGCUCUCUUCAUAACCCCAAUAACUCGAUCAAAAUUCCCAAAGCUUUUUUUAUUUCACCUACCUUUCUCCUCGAAAAAAAAAACCUGACUUGUUUCUCAAGUUAACUCCAAAAUGCAGCCGCAAGCAGACGUUUUCAGCCUCCAUAACUACAUAAACUCCUCGAACCCAUCUCCAUAUCCUUCCCAUUUCCCCAUAUCCCCGCCAUAUCCGAUCAACGGUCUAAACCUGAAUCCCUUCUACGGAAUUCAAAGUGCUACUAACAAUCCACAAUCCAUGAGCCUAAGCAGCAACUCGACAUCAGAUGAAGCAGAAGAGCAGCAGACGGACAAAAACAUAAUCAACGAGCGGAAGCAGAGAAGGAUGAUAUCAAACAGAGAAUCAGCAAGGAGAUCGCGUAUGAGGAAGCAGCGACACCUUGACGAGCUUUGGUCUCAGGUGAUGUGGUUCAGGGUCGAGAACUAUCAGUUGCUUGAUAAGCUUAACAAUCUCUCUGAAUCUCACGAAAAGAUUCUUCAAGAGAAUGUUCAGCUCAAAGGGGAAACAUCUGAGUUAAAGCAGGUGAUUAGUGAUAUGAAAAUUCAAAGCCCUUUCUCUUGCUUCGGAGACGAUAUAAUCCCCAUUGAAUAGAGCAUUUUUACCCCCAUGCACCGACGUUCAUAUAUGAAUUAUGUGUUUUGUACUCGGAGCAUUUUUUUAGUUUACCAAGACUCCAAGAGGAUGCAGUAAUUUUAAAAACUAAAAACACUAGUAUUAUUGAAGAAUAUAUAUAAGUGGUGUUGGUCAAAUCAUGAGUCAUGUUUGUGAUGGGGACAGAGUAAGGUGGUGUAUGUUCUGCUUCAUAUUACAAAAAUUUCCAAAUUUCCAACUACAAACCAACACACACACUUAUAGGUUAACUUAUAUUUUAUGUAUGCUGACAUCAGUUACAUGUGAUUAUCUUUUGGACAAAGCAAAAAGAUGAUGUCUUUGUGGAUUGAUGAUGAUUUCUUUUGUGAAACUUUCUAAAUUUGAUUAUAACUGGCAAAGACCAAGGAGAAGCUUAUCUGUAACAGUUAAGUAUGUAGACCCAUGGAGAACAGUAUUAAAAUUCAAUAUUUAAAAUUUUAUUAAACUAUUCUUUUUCACUUGGAUUUUUAUUUAUGGUCUCUUGGAGCAUAAUGAGAAAUUGAUGAGAAUAAGUAAUGCUAUAGGAUAUGACAAAAAAAAAAGUAAUGCUAUAGGAAUUUGUGGUAACAUUGUCUAUUGGUAAUCCAUAUUUAUACUGAGAUAUGAUAUCCAAAUACAUCUUGUUGAGGUUAAUUUUAAAUAUGGAAUGCUGACAAAUUAUACAAAUUUUAAUUUAGAUUCUACUAGAGAGGUUGCUGAUGAAGAUAAAUUAGGAUAUGAAAGUCAUGAAAUUUUUUCCUGUUCAAAAAGGCAAAACACAUAUAUAGCUUUAAUUUGCAAUAGUUUUAUUCGUCUGUUAAUUAGACAAACAGAUAUAAAAUAUAAGAUCGCAAAAAUUAAAAUCAAAUGAGACCUUUUUGUUAAUUUUUUUUUGAAAUACUUGUGAGAUUAAGACAUUGAAAUGGAUGUUACAGCAUAGCUUAAGACGAUGAAGGCAUGUAAUCUACUGGUUUGUGCUACUAUAUGUUGUGUACCAUACAUACGUACACUUAAACAAUAUCGUAAUGCUACACUAGAAUUUGAACCCAUACAUCCGUGCGGAUAUACUUUUUAUUUAUAAAUGUAUAAAUUUAAUAUUAUUUUAAACAUUUUAAAUAUAUCACUUAAAUUUUAGUCUUAUAUAUAGCUCUAUAAUUUUAUUGUUUAGAUUUCUUAAAUAUAUAGUGAUCUAUUUUUUAAUUUUUAAUUUUUUUUUGUAUACAAUAUAUUUUUAAAAUUAAUUUACUUAUACUAUAAAAUUAUAUUUUUAUAAUAUAAUUAACCAUUUUAGAAAUGGUGAUAUAAUAUGUUAGCCGACAUCUGAGUAAAAUAUGUAUAAAUAAAAUCAUAUAAUAUAGCAACUAUAUAUUUAUAUAGAACUAUAGCUAUGAAAAUAUUAAAGGUUAAUUAUAUUAUAAAAUCAUAUUGUUGUAUAACUAUAAUUUAUCAAUCAUAAAUUCAUAUUAAUAGUCAAAAUCGAAGCAAUGUUGUUGCAUAUGUCUAACGCACCACAACUAAAUACAACAACUCUAUUAGACUUUGAAAUUUUUCAAAUGCUAGAAUAAAUAAGAAACAAUUAAAUACAAAGAUAAUGUCUAUAGUCAAAUAAAAAGAAAUGGUGAAACUUUUACGAAUGUAUAGUUAGGAUGAAAUUAAUAUUGUUAACCAUAAAAACAGGAGUGUCACAUUUAUAAUAUUGAAAGUAAAUUAAAAGAAAUCCAAAAAGAUCUUAUUUUAAAUGUAUUGAUAUGUAUUUCUAGUGAAAAAUGAAUAAGUCCAAAAUUUAAAUGAUAACACAUUUAUAAGUAGAUAAAAAAUAGGACUCUAAAUUAAUAGAAUAGAUAUUUGUAUCGUCAGUUCUGCAUUCACUUUGUUCACGUACAUUUUCACUUCAAAUGCACACUUUUGAUAUAAACUUGUAUAACAUUAGCGUCGUUAUCGUUAGUUAUGCUAUCUGCUAGAAAUGCAUUUUAAAAUUUUGGAGAGAACUUGAUGGUUUAGUGGUUUCCUCGGAAUGAAGAAUCGUGUUAGGGAUCUAUUCCCCUCCAUUAAAAACUGCCAAAUCCAUGUUUGGCUAGUUUGCUUGAUCUCUAACUUCAACGUAAAAACCGUGUUCGCAUAUCAUCUGUAGACUGAUCCACAUGAGCAUGAUUAGUCGGGUUUUGGCUUCGACACCUAUCUCGUUUAAUCAAAAAUUAAACUUGUAUAACGUAAUAGAGCACAUCAAAAUCUACAAAUAUAUAAUGGCUUUUAAAGAUUGGUCAACAACAAAUUUCUAAAAAAAAGAUUGGUCAACAACUACAACUGGAAACUAUAUUAUGUAUUACAACGUAAGCCCAAACCUAUCAUGCCCCUCCGAUAGAUAGACCAAGAAACAAUCUUACGUACGAUAAAAUCUUACGAAAUGAGUGGGUCAACAUGCAAUACAAACAAACUUUUUUCUUAAAUGAUGUUGUGAGUUUCCUUGCCAUAAGCUUACUAGCCAAGAAACCUACGAUCGCACAUAACAUUUCCUUUAAUAUAUAGCUUUAGAAAAAAAAAUCAAUCAAUCUUUCAGCUUUCUUUCCUCUCUCUUUGUGGAAUCGAGCACGCAGAUCGUAAUGUAGUGGAAGACUGAAAGACACAUUAAAGAAAGAUAGAGUCACCUUUAACUUCUUUUUUCUUUGUUGUCAUUCAUGAAGACGUAUAUAUCUGAUGUUUUUUUUUUUUUUUUUUGUAACUGAUAUAUCUGAUGUUCUCUAGAUCAAAGACUAAUCUUUGGUAAUACCAAAAUAUUUACACCUAGUAAGACCUCCACCGUUCCACGUUGCAGUCUACUCGAACCCGAGGCUAAGAACACAAAUAAAACAACUCCAGACUACGGAGCAGCUAAUGUCAUACUUAGAGCAUCUCCAAAAAAAACUCUCUAUUUUAGUGUUUGCAAAACUCUACAUUUAAAGUUUCAAAAUUAUAUUUUUUCUAAAAACAAAACUUCAAAUUCAACUUCAAAAUUAUUUGUAUUUUACACUAUAACUCUUAUAUUUGUUAUAAUUAAUAUAAAUCCACUACAUUUUUACAAAUAACUAGCACAUAUAUAAAAGUAUUAAGGUAAUACUAAUUAAUAAAAUCUUACACUAAAUAUAUAUAAUUAUAAAUAGAAUACAUAAUUAAAUAUAAAACUACAAGCAAAAUACCACACUAUUCAAUAAAAUUAUUUUUGUAAUGCUCCAUCUUCGGCUACAAAAAUUUGUUUUGACAAUAUUUUAGAGAUUUUGGAGAUUCCGGAGAAAAUUCACCAGAAUAUUAGUGUUGUUGUAAUAUUUAAACUUGUGUAACAAUUAUUUCUUCAUGUAUCUUUAAAAAGUAAUUAAUAUUUGUUUCUUCUAUAAUAUUCUUGGUCUAAUUAUAGUUUUAAACUAUGAUUAAUCUUAUUUUAAAAAAAAUUAUUUAAAUUCAUGUAAAAUUUAAUUUAUAAAAAUAAAUUUGAAAUAUUUAUGCUAUAUGAAAAUUUUAAGGAUUAAAACGAUAAAUGAAAAAAAACUUAAAAAUCAUAAAUAUGAUGUGUAAUUAAUUAUAGGAUCAAAAUGCAAAUAAAAUAUGAAAUUUCAAAUUUGAAGUUUUGAAGCUUCUUUUUGAAGAGUAAAAAACUCUAUAUUUGAAGUUAUAGAGUUUUUUUUGAAGAUACUCUUCGGGAAAGACAACUUUUCAAAACGUAAAUUACCCAAUAAAGUUGGAAGAAAAGAUAAAACAAAAGACACAUUAAGCUUUUCAUUUUAUAGUUGCUGACGAUCGACAUCAAAUGUUUGAGCGUUUAACAUUUUUAGUCGUCAAACAAGUGAUUAAUAUACAAAAUAAACGAUCGAUUUUGCUGGUCGAUCGCUUGCUCCUGGAAAACGAACAAACCAUAUAGCUAUAUCCUUCCGCUAGUUGCUGUCGCUGAUUAUUUUGUCAGCAAGUGUGAAACAAAUCAAAGCCUUUAGUCUCAGUAUUGACUACAUGCAAUUGAUUACUGAAACAUACAAGACAUAUGAUUAGCUUUAUUCAUGACAGCACUUUGGUCCUAAAAUAUCUUUGAAUCUUUGGUUCCUUUUCAUCUUCCAGCAACAGUGGAGUUUCUUUACUCACUUUUAUUUUAAAAUUUUCAUUUACUUUACGUAUUGUUUCAAGAAUCAUCUCAAUCUUUGUCUCUGUCUUUCUAUAAAAGCGUGUAUACAAAGUACAGGUGUAUCUGAGACCUGAGAAGAUAGGUUCUUUCCUUUUCGUUUCGUACGAAAAUUUGGUUUUCUUUCUUUGGAACUUUAUAAACAAUAGAGUUUUCAUCGUAGUAAUAUGUGAAUGUUAGUGAGUACUUUAUGACCCAUUUGGAUUAUAGGUAGAACAACAAGCCAUCUUUUCUCUUCUAAUCCCAAUUUUACCGAAGAAUCGUUACUCAACCGAGAGUAAUAAUAAUGUUGGAAAACAUUAUUCGUUUUAGAACCUAAGACAAAUGAGUUAUCACGGUUUUCAAAGUUGUGUAAACAUUAUGGACCAUAUUACAUGAACAAAACGUAAAUCACCCCUCUUUCCACACCAAUCAAAGUUACACGUAAAUAAUUAAUUAAAAAAAUAUUAAAUUUAUUUAAUAACAACUAAAAAAAAGAAUAACGCCAAUUUUAAUGACGAUGACACCGCUAUCUAAACCGUAAACCUUAAAUCUAAAAUUCUAAACCUUAAAUCUUAAACCCAAACCCUAAACCUUAAAUCUUAAACCCAAACCCUAAACCCUAAACCCAAAUCUUAAAUCCUAAACCCAAAUUGUAUACCCUAAUCCCAAACUGUAUACCCUAAACCCAAACCGUAAACCCUAAACCCAAACCAUAUACCCUAAACCUAAAUUGUAGACCCUAAAUCCAAACCUUAUAGCAUCUAGGUUUAGAGUUUGGGUUUAGGGUUUAUAGUUUGGGUUUUAAGUUUAAGAUUUGGGUUAAGGGUGUAUGGAUUAGGUUUAGGGUCUAGGUUUAGGGUAUAGGGUUUGGAUUUAAGGUUUAUGGUUUGGGUUUAGGGUUUAAGAUUUGGGUUUAGUGUAUACGGUUUGGAUUUAGGGUCUAGGAUUUGGGUUUAGGGUAUAGGGUUUGGGUUUAACAUUUACGGUUUAGGGUUGAGAAUUUAAAAUUUCGGGUUUACGAUUUAGUUGGCGUCGUUAUCGUUGUUAAUAUUAGCAUUAUUCUUUUUUAAGUUAUUUUAAAUAAAUAUAAUAUUUUUAAUUAACUAUCUACGUGGCACUUUGAUUGAUCCUAGAAGAAUAGGUGAACCUAAGUUUUGUUCAUAUUACAUGGCAUAUCAUUUGUCUAUUUAAAGUAGAAUUGGGUUCAUGAAAAAGUAAUCAUAAUAUAAUAUAUUUACAUUUUAUCCAAUAUUAUUUGCCAAAGCAGAGUUGGAUGCUUACACUUGCAUUUACAAAUCCCAUUUGUACCUUUUUGAAAAUUAGUCAUAUGUUCAAUUUAUAACCGUGCAAAAACAUAUACAUGUAUUUUAAAAAAAAAAACAUACAUUUUGUUUAUUUUGUUGGAAAAAACAUACACCAAUCGCCACAUCAUCUAAUUUUGCUGAUAUGGAUGCUACGUUAGCUAAUUUUGCUGAUAAGGAUGCCACAUGUACAAUAAACUUUUUAAAACAAAAUUGUCGUUUAUAAAAAUAAUGUUUACAAAUGUAAAUGUUUAUAAUUUUUUUAUUAUUUAGUAUAAUUAACAAAAAUUAAUUAGAUAAUAAAUUUUAAUCUUAUAUACGAGAUAUAUUUGUUAUAAUGUUUCGAUCAAUCAAUUACUCUUAUGUUAAUCUUGUUUAUGUGCUUGUAUAGAAUUUUUUUAGAUUGGUUGUGUAAUCAUGAGAAUAAUUUUUUUCAAGAGAUUAAGAAUUUAGAUAUGUUAAUCUAAAUUUUUUAAAGGGAAACAAAACAACCAAGAUUAAUCAAGAGUAAUACGACUGCAACACUAUUUUUGAAUUUGAAUCAUUACAACACUUAUACAACUCUUAUAAAGAUGGUAUUAUGAUUUGAUCAAAGCAUUAUAACGAAUAUAUCUUUUAUAUAAGAUUAAAAUUUUAUUUUUUAAUUAUUUUUUGUUAAUUUUACUAUAUAAUAAAAAUUUAUAAACUUUCACAUUUCUAAAAAUUUGUUUUUAUAAACUGACUAUUUUGUUUUAUUAAAAAGUUAUUGUACAUGUGAUAUUUUCGUCAACAAAAUUAACUGAUGUAGUAUCACGUCAGUAAAAUUAGAUGAAGUGAAAGUUGAUGUGGCGGCUAGUGUAUAAUUUCGCUAAAAAGGUAAAUAAAAUUUAUAUUAUUUGACUUUUUUGAAAAUGCAUGUAUCUUUUUGUAAGGUAUAUAAAUUGGAUAUAAAUUAAACAUUGUGAUAUGUUGAGUAUGAAAUGACUGUUUUCGUGUACUUUCUCAAAUGCCAAAUAUAUAUGCUGUUUUGUUGAUGGUUUGUUUCUUUUUCAGGGGAUGAGAGAAGAAGGCCCAUGGGCUAAUUCUUUCCAAAUCGUUUGGUUUGUGUUUAGGUUUUAAUUUCUUUCUCAAGUCAACAAAAUAGGCCCACAAGAGCUUCCUCUGAAAAUUGUUUGACCAUUAGUUCUUCUGCAAUUCCAUACAAUUUUUUUCGUUCAAAUACUACGCUUUUGGAUUGAUAAUUAUUUUGGAUUUUGAGGGUUGUCACAUAAUUAUCUAUUGUAAAUGGCCUAAUGUGCUCUCUUUGUGUCUUAACAUAUUUCACUUCCUCGAAAUAAACUGAGAAAAUAAACAAGAGUGGUUACAUCCCACAUAUGCUUCUCUCGGUACACAAAUAAAUUACUCAUUCUUUUUGACCAGAACAUAUAAAUUAUUUAAUACAUGUGCUACAUGUUAAUGGAUUUUUUUUUCAAGAUUUGAGGGUGAGUUAGAUGUUUACAUUAUAUCUAAUUCAUAAGUAACACCCAAAAAAUGUGAACAUUCAGACAAAAACUAAUAAUUUUUCUGUGGAAGAGUUCCCAUGCAUGUUGCUGUCAUGUGUCUGCGGUGGAUCCAUUUCCCUCUUUACAGCCAAAACAAACAAAGGAACAAAACAUUUGCAUCAUAAAUAUUUAAGACAGUUUGAUCGAACACACAUAGAAAGCCACAAUAUGAUCAAUAAUGGAGAAGUUGCCUCGAAGGAUACGUUUCCACCACACAUGCCUUAUUAUACCUAUUUUCAUUUACACCACUUUGAUUCUAUAUUUAAAUAUAACAUUUCUUUUCCACCCAAUAAUUUCCAAGCCUAUUUUCUCUAAAUAAGUAAAAGAAAAAAAAAACAGAAUAUUUGUGUUUCUUCUUGAACUUUAUAAUACUAAACAAAAUAAUUUUUAAAUUCGUAAGGAGUUCGUGUACGGAAUAUGUUUGAAUUGUAUACGUUUAUAGAUAUAUAUAUUCAUCUUAUCCUACUUUUUGCUUAAAUAUAUCUUCCCAUGAAAAGAACAUGUAGCGUAAGAAACAGCCGUUCAACGUAAUUUUAAGCUACUUCUAAUAUAAAUAUAGUUUUAGUAUGCAACCACCUAAACAUGCAUGUAGCUAACAUUAUCAUGAGAAGAAGAAUAAUUAAUCUUCAUGCUGGAUUAUUAGUAAAGGUAAGAAAUAAGAAUGAUAAUACAAGGACGACAAAAGAGAAUACAAAUAUCAAAUUUCAUGUUGAAAAGGAAAGAAACAGAUAAAAAUCAUCACACACCCUUUGCCUGAGGCAUCAAAAAACCCCAACAUAAAAAUGGAAAUUAACAAUCCAAUCUACAUACAAACAACUUCAAGAUAGAACUUACUUCUUUUUAAAAGACUUACUUUUACUUUCACUCUUUUUCUUCUCUUUUAUCCUACAUUUAUAAUUGCCACUAUUCUUAGCAUUAUGUUUAUGGUCAUAAUCCUCAUUACUCUUACUCUUACUCUUACUCUUACUUUCACUUUUCCCAUUCCUUAAAACAAUACAUUCUCUGCUUCUCCCUCUAUUGCUCGUUUGGGGAUAACUUGGCCCGGAAGAAGCAUCGGAAGCCAUUGAAUCGUCGCUGUCUUUGUUGUUUUCGUACUCGUUGACAUGCUUUCUUUGAUCGUUUCCGGUGAUAUGCCCUUCAUAGUACACCUCAUCAGUUUCCUCUUGCUCGUCAUCCUCCAUAGGUGAAGAAAUAUACGUAGUCCAGCCGGAUUCGCUACUGCUGCAUUCUUCUCUCUCCAUGGACAACUCAAGAACCCUAGUUUCGAAUGAGAGAGAGAGUGUUUGUGAGAAUUUUUGUUUUGUCGAGUCGUAGCAUUUGCUUGUGUAGUGGACCAUAUAUAUAAAUAUAUAAUUGCAUGUGCGUGGAAAAAGAUCCUUGUGUUUUCAUUAAUUUAAUGUGCUAAGGACAGCUUAUAUCUAAAGUAUAAAGUUACAUCCGACAUGAUUCGAACAAGAAUAGCUGUUUUUAUGAAAAAAGGUUUUGUCUUUUUGUAAGUUAUGAUUUAUGUGUAGUCUUAGUCUUCUCUUGAUAGUGUGACCAUGUUGAAUAAUACAUUUUGAUUAAUAUAAAUAAUGGAUUUCUGUUAGAGAGAGCGAAGUGGUUUAAGUUCACAUUGUGGCAUGAGGGGAAUGUUUCUAUACACUAAGGAUUCUCUGUAACGAUACCAAACACGCAUGCAUCUUUGUAGAUAUUGGAUGUUUGAUUCACAUCAAGCCAUGUUAGAGAACAUGUCAGGAUCAUGCCUCCAUUUCAUUAUCCUCAUCAUUUUGCAACAUAUAAAUUAUUUGGUACACUUAUCAUAUAGGCUCUCAGUCGUAUUAGUGGAAAAUGUGUUGUUAACACUUUUUCAAAACACAAAGUGGCGAAUUUAUAAAGACAAUACCAUAUACCGCUUAUUUCCAAAAACUAUACUAAGUACUUUAAAACUAGAUCUUUGGGACACCAUGGUGAUCUUAUCUAAAGUCAUAUUCUAUAUGCUUUCUAAUUAUCAAAAUAAGGUUUGCUCCUCAUGGAGAACAUUGGGUUAUCUAAAUUCAUAGUAGAAGUCGUCGAUACUAGACAUAAUAAAACUCAGGUUAACUGGCACCAAUUAGGCCCAUGUAAUAUAAGCUGGCCCAAUAGUAAGUACUUCGGGAUUUUUGUGGAUAUCUUCAACUAGUAAAAUAUUGAAAGGAAAGAAAGUAGGUGCGAUUAAGCAAGCAGGAAGAAACGAAGUAAACUAGUGUGUAAGCAAUAAAGAAAUCACAAAACGAUAAAGCAAUCAAAAGAAACAAUUGGAGCAAAGUGAUUUAUCUAAGAGAAUGAACUAAAAAUUAAUGCAAGUUGUUAAACUAAGCACUAUAAUUCCGUAGUAUUUAUUAAAUUCGUUAAUCACCUGAAUUUUAUACUCUACAAAAUAAAUGAUCAAUGUAAAUUAUGUCCAUUGAAACUUAAACUCUCGCAAAACUACAAAAAAAGAUACUCUAUGUUUCGUAUGUAAAUUUUUUUAAUUGAUGGAUAAUUAUGCUAUUACAAACUAUGAGAAAUAUUUUACACGAUUCUACAGCCGACAAUUCUAUCUGUUUUAUGGGAUUCAUACCUGACUGCAUUAUUUGAGCCGUCCUAUGAGAUCCACUCUAACUGUACUUCUUGCGCUAUGCUGCAGAUCUCUUGUAAAUCUUUUUCCAUUAAUUCGUAUAAUCCCGUCCUUUGUAGGGACUAAAACUCAAAUUUCAUAGUGUAGAAACAUUAAUGAAUCCUUAGUCAAACCACUGGACCAAACGAGCUUCUUCUAUUUCAUACGUAAAUUUAUGAAACAAAAUCUUGUAUUGAAUUGAUAAAUAAAUAUUUGUUUGAUUGGUUAAACAUAUAGAGAAAAAUUGGAAAAAAAUAUUGUACCAAUUACAUAUCCGCUAAAUCCAUUAUCGCUCUCUACGUGGAACUAGAAUGGUGAACAUAUAUAGUCAGCACAUCGUUUUUAUAUUUUUGUGAUUUCUUUACACGUGAUCAUGCGAAGAUGGAUAUUGUGUGAGUUUGCAUAAACUCUCCCACUAAUUUAUCUUUUACUUGCAAUCAGAUUCAAGUGGUGGAGCUAUUUAAUUUUCCUAAAUAGUAGAAAAGUAACAUGCACUUCUAUAUCACCUUUGAUUGGUGGUAGUGGUAGACAAUGUGAAGUUGUAGUUGUCACUACUUUAUAGUUAUUCUUAUUCUAAGUGGAUGCAUGUUUCAUCUGAUAUGGUUUGUGGGGGUUGAAAUUCUAUACAGUUUAGAUUGGUUUACUCAUACUCGAGUACUCGAAGUUCACAAUAAUUGACCAAUUUUGAUAAUUUCAACUUUUGUCAAAUUUAUAAUGAUUGGAGAUCAAAAUUUUACUUUUAGUGUUAUAUAUUGUCGGCUUGGCCUUUCAAACCGAACUCAAAUUUGUCCAUGUCCUUCCUAAGUAUUAAUAUAAAUAAUGAUUAUUGAUUUGUAUUUUGUUCAACCAUUAUUAGCUAGUAGAUUUCAACAUUUUAAACAUGUAGUUCUACAACGUCACUAUUUAGAGUUAGAGAUCUGUCGGUCCUUCUAUUGUUUUGAAUUUGUUGAACUAAAGAGCUCGAUUUAUCAAACAAUAAGAUUUUUUGAACAUUUUUUUAAAUUUUUUUUUAACAUAUUUCCAACUGAUUCACUUUUUUCUUAAACAUCAAUCGUAUUUUAACAAGAGCUAGUGUGCCAUACGCCGGGAGCUUCUAGGACAGGUGGUCUGCGUACCACGUCAAUCUCCCAGGCAUCUCGGGUUCGACCUACGCCUCCCAUUGUGGUCAAGUAAUAAGUUGACAAAAAAAAAGUAUGACAUAUAUGAAUAAAAACACCAACAUAAUAGAACAUAGUAGAGCGGCUCUAAAUUCUAACAAAGCGAGCCAAGUGGUCGGCUUUUGAGUUGAAACUUCUAAAACAAAUUAACCAUAUAUAUAUAAGAACUAAAAAAAGUACUAUUAUGGUCGAUCGAUCAUCAUGGUAACACCCAAAACCGGUCCAUUUAAAUUUUUAAAGAAAAGUGAGUUUUCUAUAGACCAUUAAAAAAAUCCUAAGACUUUCAUUCUCUUCUUCUUAUAAAAGCAAACUUCCAUCCUCUUAUCUCUCAUCAGAAACCUAGAAUCAAAGCUCUGCAGAGAAACCUCGAAACCAGGAAGCCCUAGCCAUUGACUCUCUCUCUCUUCUCUCUCUCCCCGCGAUCGCUUUCUCUCCCGGCCGACUCUCUCUCUCCUCGCCGUGAGCAAGCGCAAGUGGUGGGGAUGGCUGUGUGGUGAUGUUGUUCCCGGAUCACAUCUCUUAUAUAUUGUUUCCAGAUCCGGAUCCAGAUCUCUUCUCAUGCUCUUUUAUAUUGUUGAAUGAGAAGCUACGGUUGAUUAGAUCCUGAUUGAUGUUAGGUUGAUUAGAUCAUGAUGAAAUUCUAGGAUGAUAGCUGAACAAUACAUAUUGCAUAAGAACGCUCACACUGUUAACGACUUCAAUGGACUGCCUUGCGAUGAUGUGGUUGUGUGAUGUGAUUCUCUGAUCUGAUUGUUUGACUUGUGUGUUUGUUAAAGCUAGGAUGUAUAGAAAGAAUUACACCCAGGAUCAUAAAAUAUUGUUAACCAGUCUGGUUAUAUGUCCGGUCAUAUGAAUGAUAAGACCUAUGUGAAUGGUUGUUUAAUGAAUUGAGUGUGACAUCGAGAAUGGGUGUCUCAAAAAAGGAAAGAAUGAAUGAGUCUAAGGAAAGAGGAAAAACGAAAUGAAAGGAAAAAGGAAAGAAAGAAGGAAAUGGAAAGAUGAAUGAAUGAAUGAAAUGUAAACCAUCCGAAAAGGGUAGGUAGACAGGAAACGCAGGACCGUACCGUUCAAAAAUGGUGGAUUAAGUUAGAGGCGCCGUUAAGAUUGAGUCACACCGAGUCUUGGCAGGAAAGAAUCGUAAUACACUGCAGGGGCGGACCGCAUCCAAGAAACCGAAUGUUGAGCAUAUCAGGGCAGGCAGCUCCAUAGGGAUGCAACAAGAAAGGGGUGGUAUGGACCUCUCUAGCUGUGUAGGUCCUAGAGUUCUAGGAUGAUUGAAGUCUUAAAUCGAAUUAUGUGAACUGAGUGAUGACAAAGACCAUGCAAUGCUUGAUUACGUGAAAUGAAAAUGUUGCAGCUAGAUAUGUAAGUUGAAUUAAAUUGAGUGUAGUGACUAAUCGGUUUUCGUUUCGUAUUGAGCCUUAUGUGGUAGACUGGUCUAGAAUCGCUUCACUGAGUAUUCUUUACUCGCUUUUAUUUUCCCUUUCGCAGAACCGUAAGUAGAAGUGUUGAUUGUACUGAAGAAAAUGCAUCUUGAGUUCUUGAGAGCAAUAAUGGGACACAAGGAAAUGUUGAAUAUGAAGACAUGUGUAUUCUUAACCCCGUGCUCGGGAACCCAUGUUAGAAAUGGGGGAGCCGGGUGUUACAAUCAUCAUCACUAUGUUUUAGCAAUAUGUCAUGAAGGCCGUAUUAAGAACAUGCUGAUGGGUAAUACAUCUAAUAUAUUAAUUUAAGAUCAUAUUAUAUCUACCAUUAUCAUAGUAAGACGGUCUUACUAUGAUAAUGGUAGAUAUAAUAUGAUCUUAAAUUAAUAUAUUAGAUGUAUUACCCAUCAGCAUGUUCUUAAUACGGCCUUCAUGACAUAUUGCUAAGACCACUUAAAAGAUUAGUUAAUAUGACAUAUUUGAUUAUUUACAUUAAUAAUAAACCAAGUAUAAAAUUGAUUUUUUAUUAUAACAAAAUAUAUUGAGAAAUAAUCUAACAAAAUCUUAAUUAAAAAUUUAAAUGUUUUUAUAAAAUAACAUAUUAAUUAAUUUCGUAAUCAGUAAUAUAAUAUUGUUAUAAAUCAAUGUUAGCUAAAAUUUUAUUAUAAAACAAGAAAACAAAACUUAUACACUAUUUUUUAUAAAUUCUAUAAUUAUAUUUUGUUAUAAAAAAUAGUAGUGCUAUAUGAAUUAAAUAUGAAAAAAUAUAUUAAAUAGGUAAAUUAACAAAUUUUAUUUUUGUAAAAUUGUUUCAUUUAAAUAAAUUAUCCCUAAUCAAUAAAAUAGGUUAAAAUUCGUAAGCUAUAUAAUAUUUUUAUAAUAAAAUAAAUUUAUUAACAUCAGUUAAAGUUUUAUAUCUACAACUAUAUACUAUAUUUUUUUAAUUAUGAAACUCUCAACAAUAUAUUGGUUAAAAUGUUUAUAUACAAAAAUAUAAUAGUAUAUAAGAACCUUUAGUUCAUAUACUAUUUAAAAAAAUAUGUUAUUAGAAAACUAUGAAAUUUAAGUAAUCAUUUAAAAUAUUAAUGACAAAUCAAAAUUUAAUUAUUAUUUUAAAUUAUAGCAAAAUCUGUUGAGAAAAAUUUAUAAAAUAUUACCAAAAAUUCAAAUAUUUUUGUAAAAUAACUUAUUAAUGUAGUAACAAAAACAAAUUCAAAAUUCAUGUAAUUUUCCAAACUAAAAAAUAGUAGUGUAUUUUUUCAAAGUUUUCUUGACAAAAUAUACAAUUUUAAAAUUAAUUAUUCAGACUCAAAAUGAUAAAUUUCAAAUUUUACAAAAGAUAAAAUCAUAGUUAAUAAAGAAUAACUUUUUGAAAUACAUUAUGAAAAAACAAACUAUAUAUGUUGUAAAAAUUAAAGCAUUAAUAUUUUGAAAUCUUAAAUAAAAAUAAAAAGAAAACUUAAUAUCCUAACAUCACAAAAAUAUCAUAUAUAUCAAUAAAAUUUACUAUAAUAAUAUGAUAGAUUCUACUGCGUAUAAAAUUUAAUAAAAGAAUAAGGCUAUAUUAUUUAAACAAAACAGUUUUUUACUUAUAAAUCCCGUAAAAUGCUAAAAUAAUAUAUGUUAAAGUAUAUUUUUUAAACAUAACAUGUAAAUAUAAAUAAUCUUAAACAUUCUUUUCUGUAAUAUAAAUAAAUAAAAUUUUAAAAAUGUAUUAUAGGAAAAUGUAUAAACUGAAGAAAAAAACAUAUUUUGAAAGAGGUUAUCUAUUUGAUUAUUUCAUAUUGUUAUUUUAUUGUACCUAAGUCGAGAGUAUAUUAGUAAGAAAUAAAAAUUAAUAACAAAGUAAAAUGUAUUAAACAAAUCAUUAUAUAUUAAUAAUGGCGAAUAAGAAAUAUAAACAAUAAUAUUAUAGACUUACACAAUAUAUAAUACUAAAAUAGAAUAUAAUAUUUGUAAUAAUAUUAAAUACAUUUUAAAAAAAAAUAUCCGUACGGAUGUUCGGGUUAAAAUCUAGUUUAAUUACUUAGACCAUGUCCAAUAGUAAUACUCCCACAUGAGUCCUUAAUCAUAUUUUAAGCAUAUAAUUUUUUUUUUUCAUUAGUUAAGGAUUCGGAUCUAAAAUACUCGUCCAAUGGUGAUCCUGAAGAAUGAGUCCUUAAGAAUAAAAUAAUAUUUUUUGUAAAAAAAAUUAAAAUUGAAAUUUUAUAAAUUGCAUUAUUAAAAAAAAAGAUACAAUGAUUUAAUAAUAUUCCAAAGAGAACUAAUUAUUAAUCUUGAUUACCAAAUUUAUUCCAAAUGUUUUCGAUCAAAUCAUUCUUCAAUCGAUCAUGAGUUUGCCUAUCACGAAGAUCAUUGCGGUCGGGAAAUGUAUCAUUGAACAAUGUAGGAAUUUCGUUUAGGACCUCCGAGGUUCUGGAAGAUUCUCCUUCUUGAAAAUCUGAAAUAUUAACCCGGUUUGUAUAACCAUCUCGUUCAUCUUCAACUAUCAUAUUGUGUAGUAUGAUACAUGCUCUCAUAAUCUUCCCUAUCUUCUCUCUGUCCAAUGUACGAACCGGGUUUUUCACUAUCGCAAACCGAGCUUGCAAUACUCCAAAUGCCCGCUCGACAUCUUUUCGGGCUGCUUCUUGCCAUUUAGCAAAUGACGCUUGUUUGGGACAUUGAGGGAGUGUGAUAGAUUGGAUAAAUGUUGACCACUUUGGAUAUAUACCGUCCGUGAGAUAGUAUGCCAACUUAUACAUGUGUCCGUUGACCAUGUACCUUACCCUCGGAGCUCGACCUUCUAAGAUAUCGUCAAAAACAGGAGACCGAUCGAGGACAUUAAUAUCGUUUAAGGUACCUGGAAGACCGAAGAAAGCGUGUCAUAUCCAAAGAUCUUGUGAAGCUACAGCCUCUAAAACAAUCGUCGGUUUUCCGGAUCCACGUGUGUAUUGUCCUUUCCAAGCGGUUGGGCAGUUUUUCCACUCCCAAUGCAUACAGUCAAUGCUCCCGACCAUCCCUGGAAAACCGCGUUGCUCUCCAAUAUAGAGUAGUCGUUGAAGAUCCUCCUUUGUGGGUCGUCGUAGAUACUCAUUACCAAAUAAGUGUAUAACUGCGUCAGUGAAAUGAUGUAAACAAGAGUGUGCUGUAGUGUCCGCAAGUCGGAGAUAUUCGUCAACCGAGUCAGCCGCUGUACCAUAAGCAAGCAGACGAAUAGCCGCCGUACACUUUUGAAGUGAUGAUAGACCCCACCUCCCGGUUGCAUCUUUUCUCUGCUGAAAGAAUAUAAAGUUCUGCUUGAGGGCUCUGACAAUACGCAGGAAUAAAUUCUUUUUCAUGCGGAAACGUCUUCUAAAUAUUUGUGCCGAGUAUGUCGGGUCUUCACUGAAGUAGUCAUUCCAUAACUGAUCAUCUCCUCCUUCCCGGUCUCGUUCAAUAUAAGCACGGUUCGCCUCAUCAUCGGGUUGGUCCUCCACUAUGUCAUUGUAGUAAUCUUCAACGAUUUCAUCAACAAGUUCGUCUAUUCUUUCGUCUAGACCAUCGGAUGAAGAUGUUGACAUUUUAAGAAGUCCUAAUAUGUUAAAUAUAGAAAACUUUAAUUUUGAACUUUUUUGAAUAAAAUUUAUCAUAUUUGGAAUAUUAUAAAACUUUAAUUUUGAACCUUUCAUCAACAAAUUUUUGUCAUGUUAACAAUAUUAUAAAACUUUAAUUUUGAACCUUUCAUCAACAAAUUUUUGUCAUAUUAACAAUAUUAUAAAACUUUAAUUUUGAACCUUUCAUCAACAAAUUUUUGUCAUAUUAGGAAUAUUAUUGAACUUUAAUUUUUAACUAUUUUUUUAAAAAAAUUGUCAUAUUAGGAUUAUUAUAGAACUUUAAUUUUGAGCUGUUAUUUAAAAAACUAGUCAUAUUACUAAAAAAAAAAAAGUUUUGAUGGUUUGUGAUUUUACUAACCGGUUUGACGAUGAAGAUCUCAGCACCAAAAGAACAAGUGUCUUGUACGAUGUAACCUUCACGUGGAAUGUUGAAAGAGGAAUCAAAUGUGCAUAUCUAAAACAAGAUUAUUAACAAGAUUAUUAACAAAGAUUGAUCAAAGAGAUAUGUAAACAAGAUUACUAACAAGAUUGUUUACAAAAUUAUGUUAACAAGAUUAUUAACAGUUAUAUUCUUUCAGCAGAGAUUGUUUACAAGAUUGUUUACAAGAUUAUUAACAAGAUUAUGUAAACAAGAUUAUGUAAACAAGAUUAUAUAUAACAUAAGUUUUGAUACAAAGAGAAGCUUACAUAUGAUCCGAGGAAAUGUUACAUAUGAUCCGAGGAAAACAAUGAGAGUACUUUAGAAACUCUCUGAAAACAUGAACUUGACUCUCAAGAGGAAACAAGUUUAUACUACACUGCAAAGACUACAACUACUACUUAUAAUACAUAUGCUAGAGAGAGUGACCCGUGACUCAUACAACUACACCCGUGAUUCCUACUCCAUCACCCGUGAAUCCUACUCCAUCACCUGUGAUUCCUACUCCAUCAGAUAAAGACCAAAUGCACCCGUGACUCCUUCCCACAUGCGAACCUGUAAAAACAGAGUGACAAGAGUUAGUACCGUGUCAUAACCAUUAAAAAACAAUCAGUACACAAACAGUUCUACCUCAAAAGCAAGAUUGAAAAUAGAUCAUAUCAUUUCGGACAUUAGUUUGAGCAUGAGACUGUUUUCCAUAUCUGAGAGAGGUUCUUUCUUAGCUAGUAAACGAUCAAGAAGCUAAGAAAGAAGCUAAGAAAGAACUCUACUAUACGCUUCCAGAAAGAAGUGGACUUCUGCUCGUUGCUCAUCACAGGGUCCUUACUGGUGUUAAGCCAAGCACCAAUAAGGAUUUUAUCCUCUCUGGGAGUCCAUUUUCUCCUCUCAGGACCUGAGGCAUUUGGAUUCACACCAGACUUUGCCCGAACGUCCGGAGAAGAGCUCACAGGAGACUUAGCAGGAACGUCGGGAGCACUCAUGAAAGGAGAGUCAUCAGGACCUUGACUACCGAACCAAAAAGGUUCUGGUGAAUCAAGGUCAACUGGAAUUUGACUAAAGAGAAGAUUACUAAAAUUUUUUUGGUUAGCCAUUGUUUUAAUUGUUUCUCUGUGACACUCUACUAGUGACACAGAGGGCUUGAGUAAGCCUUCUACUCGAUUAAUAGCAAUCAGAUCAGAGCAGUUGAGAAGGUGGAAAGCAAAUGAGUUCACUGUUCAUUAACUACUCGACUAAUUAAAAGCACAUCAAAUCAAACCUAAAUUACUACAACUACUUUCUUUCCUUCCGGUUUCGAAUCUAAAUAACUACAACUACUUUCUUUCCAAGCAAAUCAAAACCUAACAAACAUUUAAUUUUCCUUCCGGUUUCGAAACUACAUUACUACAACUACUAAUAAAAUAAUUACCUCGUUAAAGAAACAAAGCACGUACGCCCCAAUCCUUUGAAUCCUUUCCAAGUAUUCCUGAAAAAUAAAUAAGUAAACAAUCAACUUUCACACACUUUCAAUAUUUGUAAUACAUAUGAGAGAUGAAAAAAUAAAAGGAAGUAACUCACCUAGCACAAUAAGCAACACCAACCCUAAGACUAAGCUGAAGACCAUUAGCUUAACUCCUGAUUUCUUCUUUGUGAACUCGGAAACUUGCUUCUCAAGACGGAGUAACUUCUGCUCACGUUGAUUCGCUUCACCCUUAACCGCAUUAAGCUCCCUCUGAAACUCUCUCAGCUCCUCCUCCACCGCCACGUCCCACCAUUUCCAGACGUGGCAGUCUCUAUCAUCGGCAUUGGGGCACGUUAUGUAACGUCGGUAUGGAUCUUUUGGCGUUUGGGAGUAUCCGUGAACUGGCUCUGAACCACAGUAGCAUGUCCUUGGGAUGCCAUCAUCACCCUCUGCUGAUGGUUCCCAGUCACUGGCUUCUGCAUUCCACCGAGUAAUCUCAGCUUCAGCCGCGUACAUCUCACAUUCGGCUUCAAGGAGGGAGGUUAAGUCUGGAGAGUGUGAGGAUGAAGAAGGCUGGCUGUAACUGUAUCGUCCCAUUAUCGUUUAUCUGCAACCAAAACAAGUAAACACUUAGUUAAGGACCAAUUAAAUCAACAGCAAAUAAAGAGUAAGAACAACGUUAAUCAAUUACGUAUGUUAAAGAACAACAGCAAACAAUGUUAAAUAAUCAAAAGCACAUGAACGAGAAGGUAGCAAACCAACGACAAGAAACAAAUUUUAAGAAGAAAACAGUUAAGAAACGACAAUCGCUUAAGAAACAAACCCGAUACGGUUUCAAUCCGUAUAACACACAGAGAAGAGAUCCGAGACCGAUACAAACCAUAAACGUUUGGAAACCCUAUCUAAACCCCCAAAGAAUCCCUAAAUCGAUUUUGCCCCAAAUAUUUUUGAAACCCUAAUUUGAAAAUUUUCUCAAAUCUGUCGGAAUCCGAGAACCAAACCCUUAAUACAGAACAAACAAGAUGGAGAGUGAUCUAUAAUCGAUAAAUCUACGAGUUAAAGCUUUGGUUUACCUUACACGAGCCGAGGAAGAGAGAUCGAGCAGAAUCGUCUAGAAAUUGCCUUUAUGUCGAGGAGGAGUUUUUUUUUCGGUUUGGCUCGAGAAUGAUUUUUUUUUUCGACCCUACACAAACCAAAGAUAAAUUCGACCCACUCACCACGUGACACGUGGCUAAGGAUUGAAUCCUUAAGUCCGCUGCGACGGACCAAUCCUUCGUCGAUUUAACGCUAAUAUUAGUAUUUAAUUACAAUUAUGCUUAAGGAUUUCUUUUAUGGACCGGGUGAAAUCCACCGUUGGACAUGGUCUUAUAAGAGAGCCUCUAUAGCCUUUUGUUCUUUGAUUAUUACGAGAUAAUAACGUGAGUUCCCUGACGAGCCCGAUGAUCCUCGUCCCUGGUUCAUGAGAACGAGUUUAGAUACUCUAAAAUUCCUCAUAUUCUAGCUUCAACUACACUUGGCAGGACAGACUUGCGGCAGAGUUUGAGCAUAUAUGUAUACCAAUUGGCAUCUCAUACGAGUCAUAUGACCACGUCUAGUCAUCAAGAUGAGAACAAAAAAAUCGCUUCUUAUAAAUUAAACGAUUUCUUACAUAUAUAUAUAUAUAUAUAUAUAGAGAGAGAGAGAGAGAUCCGCUAUAUGCAUAUUUAGUCAAGGCAAACGGGAAGAUUAUUGAUCAAAUUCAAGUUUUUUUCUUCAAAAAAGGUUUUUUCUUUCUUGGGCAAACGAUUAUAUUAAGGAUAAGAAACAAAACCAAAUUAUAUACCGGUUGUAAAAACUAUACUGAUUUCCAUUUAAUAAAUAUAAAAUACAUUUACGUUCCAAUAAAAAAAUAUAAUGUACACUAUGGAAACAAAACUCAUCAGCAAAAAUAUCAAAGUGUACUAUAAAUUACGGAAACACAUUGAUCAAUUUUACUCUUGAUUCGGUUCCACAAAUUUGUUUUAUUUAUUUUCUUACGUUUGAGGUUUGAUGCUAUAUAACUAUAUAUAUUUGAUGUACCGAAGACGACGUCGCCACGGUAGAUAAGCCUAUCAAUUUUCUAGCAGUUUUCUGAUUAUUACUAAAUAGUAAAUACUAAACAUUUUUGUUGACCACGAAAAAAGGUAACAACAUUUGCAUGUAUUUAUCUCUUUUUUUUUUUUGCAUAUAGCCUUAAAAAAAUAUUUUGCAUGUACCCGUUUUAAGAAAAGAAGAAACAUAUUGCAUGUACUGUGUUUCAAUUUACAAAAUCUGUAAAACAUGUAAGAAGCAUUAAAGUUACUGGGAUGGCGACAUCGACAUGACAUAUUAACAGUAAAAUCGACAUUUGUAGUUAGCAACAGAGAAAAGGAAUAUCUGAACGCACAAGGAAUCUUCCUUCAUUUUGAACUUUUAAAAACAAUGUCGUAGUGCGAUCAAAGGGCAUCCCGGUAAGCAAAUAUUUAAAUAAAAAAGGAAUUUCCUACAAAUUUUCCUCUAUAAAUUCUUCAAUACCCAAAACUAAAGUUUUCAUAGUUGAACUUACAACAAUACAAGUGAGAAAAACAGUAAUAAGAACAAAGAAAAAUGAGGGCGACACCAAAAGUAGAACUAUGGAAGUCACCAAUACCAUACCUCUUUGGUGGUUUGUUUUUGCUUAUUUUGCUUAUAGCUUUAGCAUUACUCUCAUUGGUCUGCACAAACAAAAAGACUCCUUCGUCUUCAUCUUCUUCUAAUGACACCAAUCCUGUGGGCGAAGAGGACGACACCGGAGACAACAAAUCUAAGAUUAUUAUGGUAGAGUACUUACCUAAGAUCGUAGUGAUUUUGGCCGGAGAGGAUAAACCUAGUUGCUUGGCUGUUCCGGUGAUCCCUCCACCGUCUUCCAUUUAUCCUUGUAACUGCGGCAAUGUUACUGUCGUCUCAACCUAACUCAGUUACGUCUCUUUUUUCUUUUGCCAGAACAAAGAAUAAGAGAUUUCAACUUUUGUAAUAAUCAUCGGCAAUUUUGUAGUAGUCGACUGUUUUUGAUGGGUGGUAGACUGGUAGUCUGGUAGUAUAGAUAAAGUUUUGUUUAAUGCUUUCUUAUGAACUGCAAAAGUUUUGUUUAAUCUUGAGAUUACUAUCGAAUAUAUUUGGAAUAGCCUAUGAAUUAUAUAUCUCUUUAAUACGAUGUUAAAACUUUAGAAUAUGUACUUUGUCUUUUUAUGGUUUUAAGAUCUUUACUACAACGUAUGACCAUAUGUUCGGUUCGAAAAUUGCAAAUGACUUAUACGGUGCCAAUUAUCAGUGAUGAUCGUUUUAGUCUGCGACUUCUCCGACAAUGUUGUUCAUCAGCAAUAAUGGCAAGCAACAACACUAUGGGCUAGUAGAAAGCUACUAAUUACAUCUUCUUCUUUUUAGCAAGUAAUUACAGACCAUGGUUUAAUGGUAGUGGACCUAUUGGCUAAAUAACAGUAAAAUAAUAUUAUAAAUGAUAAAAAGGCAAGCUUUUUGCUUUGAUGUGGCAUUUUUGUUAAGAAAAUAUAAUAAUGCAUUUGAUAACUUUCACAUUGAUUGGCGUCUAUUGGUGGACGCCGCGGCCUGAAAACGCAAAGAGUUGGACGGUCCAAAGUGGAUAUUACUUUUGCUUUUGUGUGGCUAUUAAGUGGUCGCCACUCUUUUCUCAAGUGCACUUUAAUUAUGCUGCUUAGGCAGAUAGGUUUUUAUUAAAUUAUGUAACUGUUGGUAUUGGUAACUAUAAAACUGUAUAUAGUGAAAAUAUACACGCUCUUUCUUUUUCUGAAACACAAGAACUAUAUUUAUUUAUUUAUUUAAAAUAAUAACAUUACUAAUAAUAUCAACUUUAUACUCCCUCUGUUUCAUUUUAAUUGUCAUUCUAGGUUUAUGCAUACGGAUUAAGAAAACAUAUGAUUUUGUAUAUUUUCAAAACAAAAAUAUAAUUAUCUAUACACCUAACCAUUUUUCACCCAAUAGAAAAGUUAAAUUGAAGAAUUUUAUUAAUAAAUUUUGUAUUGAAACUCUAAAACGACACUUAUUUUGAAACAAUUUUUUUUUCCUACAACGAAAACUAAAUCGAAACGGAGAGAGUAUGAGUUAACCAAUCAGAAAUAAUGGAGUAAAUUAUUAUUAAUCAACCUAUUUUCAGUAAAAUUAAAGUUCUCUUAAAAAUAUAUACACACCUUAUAUUUUGAAAAAUCAGUUUUUUGUAAGACAUUUUAUAGGGGACGGAAGGAGUAAUAUAUAAGUUGCUACUUUCAAAACAUUACAGAGUUGAUUAGGUUAGACUUAGUCCAAAAGACAAGUGGGUUACCGCGACUUAACCUUUUAAAAGUUUUUCAAAGCCAUCAAACUGUUGAUGGUUAUAUUUUGAUACCAGGAGCUGGUCGUGACAAUAUAUAAUAUACAAAAGAAACUGUAGGCCUGCCCCUGAACUAAAAAUAAAAAGAAAGGGAUGAAGCAUAAAGGUUAAAGAAAUGAACGAAGCUUAAAGGUUUAGAACUCUGCACAAACUAUUCUUCACACCAGCUGGCUUUUGUAAGCAAAUGAUGAGCUUUUUCUCAAAACAGCCCGUCAAAAUAUUUAUGGUCUUUGAAUGGUUUAUCUAUAUACAGCUACUGUCGAUAAUGGUAUCUAUGUAUGUUUUCCCUACCAAAUGUUUUUUUAUCAUUUUUGAAUUAAUAUUUAAAUAACCGUGACUUACACGAAGCCGACAAAGAUACAAAACCUUUUUGGAGCCAUAAGCCGGUGCGGUAAACCUUACCAACCAGUGCCAAAACUAAACAUAACAAAGAUUACACCAUUUAAACUAAAACAAGAAAGGGAGAGAUCACUAAGGCUUCUGAAACAUACAACCCGUGAGCAGAAGUGUGAAGGACAACGAGUAGAGAAGCUGGAAUAAACGAGAAAGCAUUGACAAUCGAUUUAUUGAGAUGCCAUAAAAGCUCCAAGAUAAGUUCCACAAAAUAACUACGAGCAACCAUCACCCAAGAACAAGCUUCAUUUGAAGAAAGCCACGAGAUAACGGCUCUCCAUCCGAGCAGCUAACGAAGAACACGGUUGACAAUCAACUACUCAAGACCGAAUGCAAUUGAGCUAAGGCUCCACAAUCCCUUACCAAGAAAUCCCUACCACUUGUUCAUUCAAUUCUUUUUAUCGUUGUUUUUCUUUAUGCUACUAUCUUGCUUUUAUCUAUUUACAAGAGCAAAAGCAUAACCUACAUACCAAAAACAUUCCUAAUUAUUCCAAGUGCGGUAAAAAAAUCAAUUCCUCGAUAAAAAUAGCUAUGUAUGAUAUGGACAGUGGCGGAGGCACAACUAGAUUUUAUUUGGGUCAUAAUUAAUUAAUUAUAGGUAAAAAAGACAUGCAUAUAAGAUUUGAAACUUACAUGGGCCAAAAAAUAAAAUUUAACCAUCUCAUACAACAAUGAAACUAAGUCCGAAUUUUAUAAGGAAAAACUAUACCACAAACUUGAUAACAUUUUUAGAUUUAUCUUUAAAGGAUGAUUAUUUUUUAUAAAUACCUUAAAUUGGUGAGGAAAAAGACUAAACUGAUCCUCCCAAAUUCCUUAUAAAGUUUAAAAAUUAUUGAUUGAAAUUUAUAAACACAAUCACACUCUUUAAAUACUAAACCCUAAACAAUAGUCAUUAAACUAUAAACUCAAAUGUUAAUAUAUUUUUUAUUCAAAGAUCAAAAGGUAAAGAUGAACUGGAGACAUAGGAUUUUUUCUUCAUCUCUUUGUUCCUCCGUCGUCGCCGCGUUUUUUAGGCGGUUGCUGGAGCCCUUUCAUGUGUCAUUAUUUCUGACUCUUCUCAUUAUCUCUCUCCUCUCUCUCUCUUUUACUUUAUUUUGUGGAGUAAGUGUGUUCUUCCAAAACUCGCUGGUUCAGAUCUGAGGGUCUCAGUUUAGAUCUGGACUGUGUUUGAUGUUAUCAGUGUUGCUAAUUUCGGUUCGCUGCUUGUUGUGUCCGGUGGUUUUUUCCUUGCUUUGGUGGAGUUAUCUUAGAGUUUGUGGUGUGUGAGGCAUCAAGUUGUCUCUCAUCGGGUUCUCUCUCCCAGUGUGGUGAGAAUUUUGAGAGUUGAUGACUCCUAAGACUCCUAUUGGAGUGACGGUUAUGUCUUUAAUUUCUGGCUCCUUGUAGAGCCACGGUUUUGUCGAUUUUGUCGAUUAUUUCAAUCUUCCACGAUUGUUUCGCUGGCAUAUUAUUUUUCCUAUCCAUUUAAUAAGUCAAUGGUUACUGUUACGCACAAAUUGAUCUUUUUGAGUUAGAUCUCUAAAAACUGAGUUCUUUUCAAACCGUUAUUGUGGUUAAAAAAAGAGAUAUGCAGUUUCAAGGGAUCAUAUCAUCUUUGAAGCCUUUUUAGUUCAUGCUCGAGAUGCUAUCUUCUACCUGACACAUUACCCUCACUAGCAAAAUAGAGUGGAAGCGAUAAGGUGCUACUCAAUCAAUCCAAUAUUGGUUGUUCAAACAUACAUUGCUGAGGAAAAUCAAGUGGCCAUAAAAAUUGCAACUACUUUUACCAGAGACCACAGAUCAUUGUCAUACUUAGAUGGUCCCUUAGCUGUAACAACUACUUAGUGAAAACGCUGAUCAAUACUUUCAGAUCUAGUACAAAAAGUUGUAUGUUGGUUGAUACUAUAUUAGUCCUUCGCAGGUUAUAUUUAUAUACGGUUUUGAGCUCUUUAUGUCAGUAACCGGUGAUUUUAUUUUAGUUUAUUUAUUCUUUUAGAAGCUUUUUGGAAGAACUUUGCAUUUUUGUGGUUUGAAACUAAACAGUGUUAAAAUUUUGAGUUAAUUUGGUCAAAACCCAUAAAAGAUCGACAAAUUAAGUAAAUACACACAACAUUGUUUUCUAGGGGGCUGGCGUAUUCUUCGAGUGAAAGUAGAUUACCAUAGUAACCCUAUACUAUAUUCCCGCAGAAAUUAGUGAGGUCAUAAGUAUUAGUUAAGAUAUACUAAAUAUUUUUUAUUUUUCUGGUAAAAUAUUUACUACUUCUCUCCUCCCUCCCCUUUUUCUCUCUAACCUCUCUCUAGAAGCGCAGCCCCUUUUUCCGGUCAGAUCUCGCCCCCUCCGGUCGCCGGUGUUCUAGCAUUGGUACUGGUUCCGUGAGGGUCCCUUCAUUUUCUUUCUUUCUUGUUCAUGGCCGGAGCUUCAUCUUGAGUUUUAGGGUCUUUCGCUGGCCUGAUGAGGUGGUGCUUGUUUGCUGUCGAAGUUUCCAGUUUGUCCAGGUGGUGGUUUUGCGGCGGUGGUCAUGCAUGUCCGGAUCUUUAGAGAACGAGAUCCGGUUCUAAGAUUCGUCUUGACUGCGCAGUCUCAAUCCCUUCCUUACGACCUCUUGGAGUUCUGAGUGUUCGACCGAUGGUGAAGGGGAAAGCGAUGAGUCGUUAUGGUGGGGAGGGCUUGUUGGUGCUUGAGCUGCUGGGAUCGAUGAGUAAGCUCAUGUUCGAGGACAAUGGGUGGGUCUUGAAAUGGAUCUCCGGCAGCGGCUGGAUUGUAUACUGAACAUAUUAGCCGGAUACCGAAGAGUAUGUUAGAUAUAAGUACAAUAUUAACCGGAUAUAAGUUAAACAAAUAGGAGAAAAUGUAUAAUGAAUAUAUUAGCCAGAUAUAGUUACAAUAUAAUCACUCUAUUGUUUUAUUUUCAGGUUAACAAACAGACCGGCGGAUAUAGUUACAAUAAUACUCGGCUAACUCCGAUGAUAGAAUUUAUGUUCAAUUAUAAUAAGUUUUUGCAAUGGGAUACUUUUCUAUUUGACUAUGUAAACUGAAAUAUAGCCGGCCAAGUACUAAGUUGGCUAUGUCUUGGGCAAUAUUUUAGUUGGCCAGCUACAAUAUGCUAGCUGGAUAUAUUAUUCAUCAUUAACAACAGUUCUAUAAGGGACAUGCUAUUAAUCAAAUUUAAUUGAUAACUCGUUGAUUAGAUUAUCAACCGUAAACAAAGAUGACUAUCUUCACAAAUUUAUAAGUGUAAGACAUGCAGUAGCUGUCAUUAGUGAUCCUAUACAUGGAUAACACAUGUUUUUAGCCGGUUAUCCAUAAUAGUGACAAGUUACAAGUACACUUAUGGUUGUGUCCACAAUAGUUGUUUGGCAUGAUAUAAAGUUGAUUAACAACCAAAUACAUAUGGUUAAGCACCUACAAAUUAAUUUAACUUUGUGUUUUAAAAAAAUACAGCUGUUGACAUAAGCAAUAUAAUGAUGAUUGUCAUAAAAGACAUUCGAAAGUUUUAGCCCACAUUAUGUGUUUGCCUGACUCGAAGAAAGAGCUGGUCAAAUUGGUUUACAAGUUUUAGCUGACUACAUUUCACAUUGCCAUGAUAUAAAAUUGAUUAACAAGUUUCAGCUGAGAAUCUGGAAGAGGAGGCGGAAAUGGAACUGGUUCCAUGGGAGAUGAGAAUCUGAAAGUGUGAUUGGUUAAACCAGUUAAGAUCCGGGUAUGCCAAAGCUCACCGGCGGCGAACCAGACUUGUAAGCGAAGCUUCGGAGGCGGAAGCUUAUCGCUCCGCGCCUGAGUAGUCUCUGAUCUAACUUCCAUCUACCUCCCCGGAAGAUCCGCAGCUCCAUGUGAUAGAAUUCUCAGAAACCUAAAACUUUUUCGAUCUUGAGAAGGUUCCGAAGGAAAUGCAGAGAUGGAAUUGAAUUAGAUGACAAAGGCGAAAUGAAAUGCUCACGAAACAAAGCUUCUUCUCUCUUCCUUGGCAAUGUUCUUAUGAAUCUUGACUGAUUAUUUUUUCUUUAUUUUCCGUAUAAAUUCAAAAUUUUAUAAUAAUAAAAAAUUAUGAAACAAAGUGGUAACAGUGAGAAAAGUGAAUCUAUUUAUUGUUUUCCCCCAUGUAAAGAAGAAACUACAGAAAUAGAUAUAAGAAAUAUUUGGGCUACAUGAACUUAUGAUCAAAUAAAAAUAGGGGUAUAUUGGUCAUAGAAAUGUCGACAAAACCUAAGCAAAUCCAAAAUGUGUAUCCACCUAAUUAUGAUAUUUUGUUUGUGUGUAGAGUGCAAUUACUCUAAAAUUUUUGAUUAAAUAUAUUUUUGAAAAAUAAUAUCUGAUAUGUGGUAUUUCAAACAAUUUUAUAUUUUAUAAUUUUCUUAUUUCAUAGAGAUCGACCUACCCCUUUCACACCUAGGUGGCUCCAUAUAUGGAUAAGUUUCAUCCAAUAUGACGGUCUCCAUUGAGUAAAAAAACUGUUUCUUCUUUGAAGAAUCCUCGCAAUCUAAACCGAGUUUAUUAAUAAAUUAAAAAUCUGAUGUGAGCUUUUGAUAAGUUAUUUGGACUUCCAACUUAAAACCGCUCUGAUACCAUGAUAAUUUUUUUUGGGCUUUCAACUUAUUGGCGGUAACUGAAGUGGCCCAAAUUUCUUAUAUCUCUAGCCCUUUACAUAUUUUCAAUAUGGUCUUAUCUCCAACAGAUUUCAUGGUUGGGCUCGAGUUGGAUCAUAUAAUCAGGAGAGGCUAUCCACCAUGUUACGAGCGACCUAAUUAAGUAUAGGAUAACAUCUUCAAAUGACCGAAUCAAGAGUAAAUAAAAAGGUAAUUCCAUUAUUAUUGAUAAGGAAGGGUGAAUAUACAUUGAUGAAUGAUUUAAUUAAAUAUGUAUCCCCCUUAGUCCCUUACAACAAAACCAGAUGAAAUGUUCUUACCUACUUACAUAAUAUAUUUUUCUUAUAAUCUACAUAGAACAAAUUUGUUGAUCUAUAUUCCCCAGUUCAAUUUAAUGGCUCCAUACAUUAGGACAAU
rnacentral:lncRNA from 1 species